UACGUAGGGGGCUAGCGUUGUCCGGAAUCAUUGGGCGUCAAGCGCGUGUAGGCGGUCCGGUAAGUCCGCUGUGAAAGUCGGGGGCUCAACCCUCGAAAGCCGGUGGAAACUGUCGGGCUAGAGUGCGGAAGAGGCGAGUGGAAUUCCUGGUGUAGCGGUGAAAUGCGCAGAUAUCAGGAGGAACACCAAUUGCGAAGGCAGCUCGCUGGGACGUUACUGACGCUGAGACGCGAAAGCGUGGGGAGCAAACAGG
rnacentral:rRNA from 1 species